rnacentral:rRNA from 1 species
AGCUAGUUGGUGAGGUAACGGCCCACCAAGGCGACGAUCGGUAGCCGGACUGAGAGGUUGAACGGCCACAUUGGGACUGAGACACGGCCCAGACUCCUACGGGAGGCAGCAGUGGGGAAUAUUGCACAAUGGGGGAAACCCAGAUGCAGCGACGCCGCGUGGAGGAAGAAGGUCUUCGGAUUGUAAACUCCUGUUGUUGGGGAAGAUAAUGACGGUACUCAACAAGGAAGUGACGGCUAACUACGUGCCAGCAGCCGCGGUAAAACGUAGGUCACAAGCGUUGUCCGGAAUUACUGGGUGUAAAGGGAGCGCAGGCGGGAAGACAAGUUGGAAGUGAAAUCCAUGGGCUCAACCCAUGAACUGCUUUCAAAACUGUUUUUCUUGAGUAGUGCAGAGGUAGGCGGAAUUCCCGGUGUAGCGGUGGAAUGCGUAGAUAUCGGGAGGAACACCAGUGGCGAAGGCGGCCUACUGGGCACCAACUGACGCUGAGGCUCGAAAGUGUGGGUAGCAAACAGGAUUAGAUACCCUGGUAGUCCACACCGUAAACGAUGAUUACUAGGUGUUGGAGGAUUGACCCCUUCAGUGCCGCAGUUAACACAAUAAGUAAUCCACCUGGGGAGUACGACCGCAAGGUUGAAACUCAAAGGAAUUGACGGGGGCCCGCACAAGCAGUGGAGUAUGUGGUUUAAUUCGACGCAACGCGAAGAACCUUACCAAGUCUUGACAUCCUGCGACGGUUCUGGAAACAGAGCUUUCCUUCGGGACGCAGAGACAGGUGGUGCAUGGUUGUCGUCAGCUCGUGUCGUGAGAUGUUGGGUUAAGUCCCGCAACGAGCGCAACCCUUAUGGUCAGUUACUACGCAAGAGGACUCUGGCCAGACUGCCGUUGACAAAACGGAGGAAGGUGGGGAUGACGUCAAAUCAUCAGGCCCUUUAUGACUUGGGCUACACACGUACUACAAUGGCGUUAAACAAAGAGAAGCAAGACCGCGAGGUGGAGCAAAACUCAGAAACAACGUCCCAGUUCGGACUGCAGGCUGCAACUCGCCUGCACGAAGUCGGAAUUGCUAGUAAUCGUGGAUCAGCAUGCCACGGUGAAUACGUUCCCGGGCCUUGUACACACCGCCCGUCACACCAUGAGAGCCGGGGGGACCCGAAGUCGGUAGUCUAACCGCAAGGAGGACGCCGCCGAAGGUAAAACUGGUGAUUGGGGUGAAGUCGUAACAAGGUAGCCGUAGGAGAACCUGCGGCUG